CCCUAGCCCGCCACCGCCUCCGAUGGGUGACGGCCACGCCGCCGAUAAACCCACGCCGCCGCCGCCGCCGCGGCCGGUCUUGCUCGCCGGCGCUUCGGGCGACGCCAAGCUCUGCCGCGCCGCGGCGCUGUCACGCGAGGAGGUCAUCCGCCGCCGCCGGCGCGGCCUCCUGCAGCUCCACUCCCUCUACCGCGCCCAGCUCUGGGCGCUCGCCGACGAGCUCUCCGCGAGGCACGCCGAGUACUGGUGGGAGCACGGCUCCAGCCCCGACGCCGGGAAUGCCGUUGGUGGCGGCGCUCCCCCUCCUCCUCAUCCGGCUGUGAAUGGCGGCGGCGCUGCUGUCGAGAUUGCGGCUGCCAGGGCGGGGUGCUCCGCGGCGAAUUGCGGCGCCAAGGCGAUGCCCUUCGCGGCCUACUGCUUCGAUCACAUCCUCUUCGACCCCAAGCAGCUGCUCUACAAGCCCUGCGCCUUCGUCACCAACCGAAGUGGCAUGCAAAAUGGGGUAGAAACUUGUGGGAAACCUGUUCUGACAGGCAUUACUCCAUCACGAUGUUCUGAUCAUGAUCCAAAAUCUCAGAGGCUCGUUAUAGAAGCUUUGAAAAAAGUUGGAAUUGACCUGCACUUGACAAGCAAUGGAGUGCCAAAACUGAAUCUAUUGAUUUGUGAAACAGUCCGCCAAAUUCAGAGGAAAAGAAAGAUGCAGUUGAAUGGCGCAAAGAAUGCGCCAUUUCAUAGAUCGUCGGAUUGAUUCUUUUGGAUCAACAUAUGAUCCUGUUGUACAUGAAGGCUGACAGACAUGACGAUCAUCCACUGUAAAUACCAGGUAUACCAGGUAUUGAGGAUUUGAGGUGCACCUCGUAGUUCAAAGGAAAAACAAUAAGAGCCAGAAAACACGCUGGAGGUUUUAUUACAGUGCAAAAAUCUUUGCAAAGAAUAAUCUUUCCCUCUACCAUCCUUGAAGGAAGUCGAAGUUGGACUUUAAGCUUCCAAGGAAAUGUAAAAUGUUCUUUUUUGGAUCAUAUUAGGCUACCCAUUUAGGGAUGUACAGCCUUAUCAGUAUGUUGUAGUUUUAGCAUGUGUUGCUGGAGGCCAAGAGCACUCCCAGCAGUGACGACAGCACACCUAGUACCCCUGCACUAUUACAAGCCUGCUCUCUUAUCUCUAUGUGACUUAUCUUUUCAUUGAUGAAGACUGCUCUCUAUGUGACUGAGAACAGCCGAAAAAAUCUGAAAGAAACAGGCACCACAAGCAUCCACCACAUUCUCUCUCUCUGUAAUCUGGUAAUAUGAUCCUCCACCUUUGAGAAUCAAACACUAUUUUACUAUUGGAACCUACUUCAAAUCCACUGAAAAUCAUUGAUAUGUA